AUAUCUCUAGCGCAAUGCAGGGCGCGUUGGAUUUCUAAUCCAAAGGUCGUGGGUUCGAAUCCCAACUGGAUGUU